UAUUGUCUAUAACUAUUCUAGAUCUUAAUUAAAAAAAAUUCCCUUUUAGAAAUAACUGUAUGCAUACUUCUAUUGACAUAAAAAAUUUAUCCUGAGCCAAUUGCCAAGUUCUAACAUAUUUCCUGUUAGAUUGAAUAUCUUACUCCCUCCUUUUCUAAAUAAAUGAUGUUUUAGGUUUUUCAUUUUUUUUUUCAAAAUAAGUGGUGCUUGAUUUCAAGACGAAAUUGAUCUUAUUCUUCCAAAAUUACCCUUAUUUACAUAAUCAAUAAUCAUUAAUUAGCUUUUCUUUUUCAAAGCAUUUAAUCAUAUUAAGCACAAUAUAUUAUGUCAAAAGGAAUAAUACCCUUAUUUACACAAUAUUUUGUUCUAAAAGUUCAUCUAUUGAGUUGUACGGUACUCCAAAAGACCAUUGAAGUCUAAUGUUUCAUUAAGUGUUUCAGUUGAAGUUUUAAUGAUACCCCCUCAUUAAAUGUUCAUGCGACUGAAGUUUUAAUCACCUACUAAUAUCCAAAUUCCAAUACUGAAUGUCAACUUAGAAAGAGAUAAAUUUUAUUAUUAGAGGUAAGUUAGUUAAAAUACUCCUAAGUUUCUAAGAGUGAGCAAUUUCUUAAGAGUGCAUAAGCUAAAAAUGCCACUUAUUAUGAAAUGGAGGGAGUACAAUUGUAUUGUUUCUAUGCAUUAUUUGAUAGCUUGAUGACAGUAAAAAAUAUGGCCUUAAGAUUAUGAUCUCAGAGGUAUAACGUUAAAGAAGCAGAACGGGAUGAAGGAGUAGCUGUUUUACUUGAUUGUCAAACUUCAAUGCCACAUUUACGAAAAUUUUGGCUUGCAAUGCUUGCCAUCUAGCGACUAGGUUGAGCGAGUUAACUAGAAUAACAAUUGUUGUAAUUGGCCAAAGUGUUAAUACAUGUACUUUAUUGGCUACUGUAUCCACUUUCUUUUAGGAAAUUUUUUAUCUACACAUUCUAUUAAAUCCCGGAUCCCGCACAUAGCGGGAGCUUAGUGCAACGGGCUACCCUUUUUUAAUCAUUUAUCAACACAGUGUAAAUCAUCUGUAUUUAUUGAAAGUGAAGAAGCUCUAAGGACAAACUUUUCCAUACAAAUACAGAAUUUAAGUUAAUAACUAUGUUGAUAUAAAUUAAGCAUUUGCUUGGAUAAGAAGGCACUUAAAUCAUUAUCUGACUAAAAGAAUGAACAACAUAAGAUGCAUCUACCAAAAUGAUCAUGUAUAGCUUGUUAAUUGAUUCCUUAUACCAUGUUAGUUGUUAUAUUUGAAUUUUUCAGGACAAAUUAGCCACAUAAAGCUAUUGAUGUUCACCUUAUCUACUCUUCUUUCAACCAAUGCUAUCUAUUUUGCUAUAUGGAGCUACAACAGACCAUAUUUUGCAGGAUUUUCAAAAUUACCCAGAUAUGUAGCUUCACGUGUUUUGUCAAAUAGACAAAUACUAAAUACAAACUAGUUGGCCUUCCAGGUCAGUCAACAGUAAUCCUGUUUACAAUUUUAGAUACUCUAUGUUGACUUGCAGCUAUAUUUUUUGAAUUCUUUAUCUCAGUGGUUAAAUAUUUGUCAGCUAUGUUUUGUAGUUCUUUAUUCAGUGGUUAAACAUCUGUAUGUGUUCAUAUUAGGUUCAAUCUCACACUUAUAACUAUGGUGAACAUGUUCACGAUAUUUGUAUUCUUGAAUAGAAACUGCAUGGAGAAGAAAAAAGAUUCUUAACUGAGUGCGCUCCUUCCCAAUCAAGCACUUCAAGUACUUGUUGAGUAGGUGAACAAUAGUGCUAUCAAAGGACGUGUACCAGCAGACACUCUCAAGAUGGAGAUUUUUCCCAAUCCAAAGGGUAUUAGUUUCUGCUGGUCAAGCAUGUGUACCAAGGUUGCAAUGUUUUCUAUAAAUGCCUAAUUUAGCUAACAUUCAUUUUCCUGAAGUGGAUGGGGUCAAAGAUCUUCAACUUCAGCUUGCUACUGAUGUUGCUAUUAAAUGAUGAACUAUUUGAAGUCUGAAGAUCGUGGCUCUGAAGACAAUUUGGAGCAAGUUGAAGCAAAUAGGUUUUUUAUUUUGUUCGGAUUGUUUAAAGGUGUUGCCAUUUGUGCAUACACUACAAUUCUAUUUUUUUAGGAGUUGAUAAGAAUAAUGUCAUACUAUUUGGAUGGAUAUAUUUUCUAGUUGUGAUCUUUUAGUUUUUUUGUAAUUGACAAUGAAAUUUUGUAUUACUGUUGACUAUUUGGCGUGUC